rnacentral:lncRNA from 1 species
AACAAACUAACCUGCCAUGGCAAAAAGACUAACAACAGUACAUAACACUGGCAUAUCCAGAAAUUUUCAUAAGUGGGGGCCUACUGACUGCCUAAGCGGCGGCCCGCUCCAGUCACACUUCAGUGAUUCCCUAUAUAAACAACCAAAUUUUUUCCCAAAAAGGGCCCCCCCCUCUAAAUCCGCCUCUGCAUAAAACACAACAGAAAACUAAAGACGAAGCAAAACCAGGGAAUAAUAUGUUGUCUGAUUUUCUUGCAACUGGUCAGUUUGAUUUGUGAAUUUUGCUUAGAGCUAUUUAAGAAUAGCCAUUUCUGAAAAACAGACAGAGUCUAUUAUGAAGAUGAUGCAUGGUGAAAAAUAAAGCAGAGAUUUUAUUUUCAUUAAAUCUUUCUGG